UACAGAGGGUGCGAGCGUUGUUCGGAAUUACUGGGCGUAAAGCGCGCGCAGGCGGCCCUUUAAGUCUACCCCGUGAAAUGCCGGAGCUCAACUCCAGAACUGCCUUUGAUACUGGCGAUCUCGAGUCCGGGAGAGGUGAGUGGAACUGCGAGUGUAGAGGUGAAAUUCGUAGAUAUCUGGAGGAACACCGGUGGCGAAGGCGGCAUCCUGGACCGAUACUGACGCUGAGGAGCGAAAGCCAGGGGAGCAAACGGG
rnacentral:rRNA from 1 species